rnacentral:rRNA from 1 species
GAUGAACGCUGGCGGCGUGCCUAAUACAUGCAAGUCGAGCGAACGGACGAGAAGCUUGCUUCUCUGAUGUUAGCGGCGGACGGGUGAGUAACACGUGGAUAACCUACCUAUAAGACUGGGAUAACUUCGGGAAACCGGAGCUAAUACCGGAUGAUAUUUUGAGCCGCAUGGUUCAAAAGUGAAAGACGGUCUUGCUGUCACUUAUCGAUGGAUCCGCGCUGCAUUAGCUAGUUGGUAAGGUAACGGCUUACCAAGGCAACGAUGCAUAGCCGACCUGAGAGGGUGAUCGGCCACACUGGAACUGGGACACGGUCCAGACUCCUACGGGAGGCAGCAAUAGGGAAUCUUCCGCAGUGGGCGGAAGCCUGACGGAGCAACGCCGCGUGAGUGAUGAAGGUCUUCGGAUCGUAAAACUCUGUUAUUAGGGAAGAACAUAUGUGUAAGUAACUGUGCACAUCUUGACGGUACCUAAUCAGAAAGCCACGGCUAACUACGUG